AUGACUUCAGUCUUUAACUGUUUACUGAUCAGGUACUAUAUUUGUUGAAGGACUGACUGACUAGGUUCUAAGUAGGAAUGUAAAGGAGCUUAGAUGUGGCCUAAGCUACUAUUUAUUUGUGUAUACCUAGGAAAAAUAACAGCAAUAAUGGUGAAACAUUGAGUUGGCUGAACUUUUUGGCCAACCCAGUAUUAUAUUCAUAGCAAUAUUUAUGAUUUUAUAGGCAUUUUUAGCUCUGUGUGUGUCAGGUAGUUAGGGCUAUUAAUUUCCCCAUUUUCCAAGAAGGAAAUGGGAAUUCAAAUAUGAAACAUUCCCCUCGUGCUGCAGAGUUAAAUAUCAAGCAUUAGAGCUGGUAUCAUUCUGACAUGAGACCCCUCUCUCUUAUUAUUAACUGUGGUGGUAAUUCCAGUACCAAGAUGCUUGGAACGCUGCUGAAGUGAAUUCUAAAGCCGUAGGGGAAGUAAAAUAAGGGGGAAGAGAAAUACUUUGAAGAACAUUCGAGGCCUUUAGCACAGCUAGUUAGUCCUCUGAACCAAGUUGUUUUUACUUGUUCUCGAAAGCCUAAGGUUUCCUUGAGUUGUUCUGUACCUUUCAACAGCAACCUAACUCUGUCUUCCUAAAUCAAACCAGCCUUGCCCUAGACUGUCAGUUGGUGAAACCGUGUUAAUGCGCCACCAGGGUCACCUGAUAAGAAGAUUAAUAGCCACCCCCCUGCCAGGUGUUGCCAAGAUGGUUGGGUCAUGACAGCUCUCAGUGUGGUUCCUUUACCAACCUAUUGGAAAGGGUUCCCUGCCCCGCUUAGGCACGGGAGCAGGUUGCCAGGAUAGAGACUUAGGUGCAUAGGGCAAGUAUGAGUGACAACUCCUUUUCUUUCAGGAAUAUAGGAAAUGAAAGCUUGGGAGCAGGUCAAAAAGUCAAGCCAGCCAAGAGUUGUGUCAGCUUAAUCAUGUCCCAGCCCUCCCUCUUGAUAACCCAUG
rnacentral:lncRNA from 1 species